rnacentral:rRNA from 1 species
CCUACGGGUGGCAGCAGUGGGGAAUAUUGGACAAUGGGCGGAACUCUGAUCCAGCGACGCCGCGUGAGUGAAGAAGUAUUUCGGUAUGUAAAGCUCUAUCAGCAGGGAAGAAAGAAAUGACGGUACCUGUCUAUGAAGCCCCGGCUAACUACGUGCCAGCAGCCGCGGUAAUACGUAGGGGGCAAGCGUUAUCCGGAUUUACUGGGUGUAAAGGGAGCGUAGACGGCGAUGCAAGUCUGAAGUGAAAGGCGGGGGCCCAACCCCCGGACUGCUUUGGAAACUGUAUGGCUGGAGUGCAGGAGAGGUAAGCGGAAUUCCUAGUGUAGCGGUGAAAUGCGUAGAUAUUAGGAAGAACACCAGUGGCGAAGGCGGCUUACUGGACUGUAACUGACGUUGAGGCUCGAAAGCGUGGGGAGCAAACAGGAUUAGAUACCCCUGUAGUC